rnacentral:rRNA from 1 species
AUUAAACAGGAAUUGAACUGAAGAGUUUGAUCCUGGCUCAGAUUGAACGCUAGCGGGAUGCCUUACACAUGCAAGUCGAACGGCAGCAUCAGAGAGCUUGCUCUCUGGAUGGCGAGUGGCGAACGGGUGAGUAAUGUAUCGGAACGUGCCCAGUAGCGGGGGAUAACUACGCGAAAGCGUAGCUAAUACCGCAUACGGCUACGGGGGAAAGGGGGGGAUCGCAAGACCUCUCACUAUUGGAGCGGCCGAUAUCGGAUUAGCUAGUUGGUGAGGUAACGGCUCACCAAGGCGACGAUCCGUAGCUGGUUUGAGAGGACGACCAGCCACACUGGGACUGAGACACGGCCCAGACUCCUACGGGAGGCAGCAGUGGGGAAUUUUGGACAAUGGGGGCAACCCUGAUCCAGCCAUCCCGCGUGUGCGAUGAAGGCCUUCGGGUUGUAAAGCACUUUUGUCAGGGAAGAAAAGUUCGAGGUUAAUACCUUCGGACGCUGA